CUGGCACACACUGUAUCUCACACAAAAAUGAGAAGUGCAAGAUAUCAUAGGCACAAGAUCGUCGCAAGCACAUAAUGCCACUCAUGAGGGCUAACUUACUAGACCCUCAAGAAGACCUCGAUGAUUCGAGGUGGGGCUAACUUAGCAGAUCCCCGUAGAGUUCGAGUCGCAUGAGAAAUGGAAGAAGAUCCUUAGAAAAUCUUCGGAGGGA
rnacentral:lncRNA from 1 species